UCUGGUUCAGGAUGAACGCUAGCGACAGGCUAACACAUGCAAGUCGAGGGCAGCAUAAAAGUAGCAAUACUUGGUGGCGACCGGCGCACGGGUGAGUAACGCGUAUGCAACCUACCUAUCAGAGGGGAAUAACCCGGCGAAAGUCGGACUAAUACCGCAUAAACAGGGGCACCGCAUGGUGAUAUUUGUUAAAGAGAUUCGCUGAUAGAUGGGCAUGCGUUCCAUUAGGUAGUUGGUGAGGUAACGGCUCACCAAGCCGACGAUGGAUAGGGGAACUGAGAGGUUGGUCCCCCACACUGGUACUGAGACACGGACCAGACUCCUACGGGAGGCAGCAGUGAGGAAUAUUGGUCAAUGGGCGAGAGCCUGAACCAGCCAAGUCCGCGUGAAGGAAGAAGGAUCUAUGGUUCGUAAACUUCUUUUGCAGGGGAAUAAAGUGCAGGACGUGUCCUGUUUUGUAUGUACCCUGAGAAUAAGGAUCGGCUAACUCCGUGCCAGCCGCCGC
rnacentral:rRNA from 1 species